AAGGCUCGUGCAUCCCUUACCAUGCUCAUUUCUUAGUUUAUUUGGAAUGAAAAAAACGCAAGAGUAUUUCACAACAAGUCUUCUCUGCCACCGAUUCUGCUCAACAAUAUCAAGCUUGAGGCUUCACUUUGGGCGAUUGCGGGCGCCAAAAAGUUAGGGACCAUUAUUUUAGAAGAGUAA
rnacentral:rRNA from 1 species